rnacentral:rRNA from 1 species
GACGAACGCUGGCGGCGUGCAUAACACAUGCAAGUUGAGCGAAGAACUUAUCAUGAAAUCUUCGGGUUGAUUGAUAAAAUUCUUAGCGGCGGAUGGGUGAGUAACACGUGAGAAACCUGCCUUACACAAGGGAAUAGCCUCGGGAAACCGGGAUUAAUGCCCUAUGAUACUUUUAAUCCACAUGGAUUUAAAGUUAAAGCGAUUUAGCGGUGUAAGAUGGUCUCGCGUCCCAUUAGCUAGUUGGUGAGAUAAAAGCUCACCAAGGCUACGAUGGGUAACCGGCUUGAGAGAGUGGACGGUCACACUGGAACUGAGACACGGUCCAGACUCCUACGGGUGGCAG